AUUCAAAAAUAAAUAUGGCGUGCAGAAAAAUAUACCUAAUGCUCCAAAAAUAUAAAAAUCUUAUACUUUCAGAAAAAUACAAUAAAACAUUGAGAGAUUUUGGAUGGGAUUACUGAUUACCAGCAGACUACAGGGAUGAUCGUGUUUAUCGUGUGUGUGGGAGCGAUUCUUGUGGCUUUGUCUCUUCUAACUACUUUACCAAUCGAUAAAGUCUUGACUGGUGGUGCUGGGACGUAUCAACUGGCCUAUUUUUAGAUGAAACUCAGCGAAUAAACGAACAAACAAGCUUCAAGCAUCUAGUGUUUUAAUAAGACACGGAACCAACGAAACACGAUGACACUGGAGAGUGACCAGCUAAAAAAUGUUUAUUAGAAUUAUUAUGCAUUAUUUAUAUCUUGAAAAUUUCAUUUAGCUUUUAUCAAAAAACUUUAUCAACUAUUAGAUAUAAUUAAUAAUAUCUGACAUCAGUUGGACACUUCAAGUUAAACUCAAACUCAGUAUUGUCUAUUCCAAGCUUUGGUGGAUUAUAGAAAUGACCAGAGUAUGCGUCGGAUAUGUGUAUAACAUGCACUUCCUGAUUAACACUUCACUUGAUGGAUGAAACAGCCGAUGUCGACCUAAUUUUGCGCUCUCAUAAAAUGUUGGAAUUUGAAAUAUUAUGUAUCAAACAUUCAAUUAUUUUUGAUGUGAUUAUUUUAUUGAAUUUUGUUAAUUGUUGCAUUACCCUCUUGCUGGAUCGAGCUGAUCUGAAAGAGUGACGUAGAAAUGACGUCACUACAAAACUGAAGUGUCAUAAAGCCUGUGCAAUUAAUUAACGAGCGAAAAAUAAAAAACCUGUCCACCAUUGCAA